GUCGGCGAGAGGAGCACGGAGUGUGACGCUGGUAUCAACCCGCGCCACUCGACCCUUGUUUGGAUAAGAAGGAAGGUUCCUUAGGUGCAGGACUCUCUUCUUUUUAAAGCUGAUGGUCCUUUCCAUCAAGGACCCACCAAGGAUGGAGAAGGACAGAAACCUCAUGGCUGCAAGGAUAUUAGACCUCACCCUAGAGAUCAUCUCCUUGAUAACUGGAGAGGAUUACACAGUAGUGAAGAAGUCAUCUGGUGAGUGUGUGACACCCCGUGUCAGGACCCA